rnacentral:rRNA from 1 species
GUGCACCAGGCGCGAAUCUUCCACAAUGGGGGAAACCCUGAUGGAGCGACGCCGCGUGCGGGAUGAAGGCCCUAUGGGUUGUAAACCGCUGUUCAGUGGAAAGAACAUCCUCCGGCUGAAUAGGUCGGAGGCCUGACGUUACCACUGCAGAAAUCCCGGCCAACUUCGUGCCAGCAGCCGCGGUAAUACGGGGGGGACGAGCGUUGUCCGGAAUCAUUGGGCGUAAAGGGCGCGUAGGCGGCGAGGAAAGUCGAAUGUGAAAUCUUGCGGCUCAACUGCAAAACUGCGUUUCGAAACUUCCUCGCUUGAGUAUGAGAGAGGUGUGCGGAAUCCCUGGUGUAGCGGUGGAAUGCGUAGA